GGAAAGGUGGCUGAGUGGUCGAAAGCGCUUGUCUUGAAAACAAGUGUCUGGGCAACCGGACCGUGGGUUCGAAUCCCACCCUUUCCG
rnacentral:tRNA from 1 species